CAGUAGCCGCGGGAAUACGUAGGUGGCAAGCGUUGUCCGGAAUUAUUGGGCGUAAAGCGCGCGCAGGCGGAUCAGUCAGUCUGUCUUAAAAGUUCGGGGCUUAACCCCGUGAGGGGAUGGAAACUGCUGAUCUAGAGUAUCGGAGAGGAAAGUGGAAUUCCUAGUGUAGCGGUGAAAUGCGUAGAUAUUAGGAAGAACACCAGUGGCGAAGGCGACUUUCUGGACGAAAACUGACGCUGAGGCGCGAAAGCCAGGGGAGCGAACGGGAUUAGAGACCCUGAGUCCCUGUCUCUUAUACACA
rnacentral:rRNA from 1 species